rnacentral:lncRNA from 1 species
GGCAGAUCACGAGGUCAGGAGAUCGAGACCAUCCUGGCUAACACAGUGAAACCCCAUCUCUACUAAAAAUACAAAAUAUUAGCCGGGCGUGGUGGCAGACACCUGUAGUCCCAGCUACUCGGGAGUCUGAGGCAGGAGAAUGGCGUGAACCCGGGAGGCGGAGCUUGCAGUGAGCUGAGAUCGAGCCANNNNNCUCCAGCCUGGGCGACAAGAGCAAAACUCCGUCUCAAAAAAAAAAAAAAAAAAAAAAAGAUUAACCUGGCCAGGUGUGGUGGCUCAUGCCUGUAUUAGCCGGGCGUGGUGGCACAUGCCUGUAAUCCCAGCUACUUGGGAGGCUGAGGCAGGAGAAUCCCUUGAACCUGGGAGGCUGAGGUUGCGGUGAGCUGAGAUCACGCCAUUGCACUCCAGCCUGGG